GGGUUGUGAGGUUAAGCGACUAAGCGUACACGGUGGAUGCCCUGGCAGUCAGAGGCGAUGAAGGACGUGCUAAUCUGCGAAAAGCGUCGGUAAGGUGAUAUGAACCGUUAUAGCCGGCGAUGUCCGAAUGGGGAAACCCAGUGCAAUUCGUUGCACUAUCGUUAACUGAAUACAUAGGUUAACGAGGCGAACCGGGGGAACUGAAACAUCUAAGUACCCCGAGGAAAAGAAAUCAACCGAGAUUCCCCCAGUAGCGGCGAGCGAACGGGGAGCAGCCCAGAGUCUGAAUCAGCUUGUGUGUUAGUGGAACGGUCUGGAAAGUCCGACGGUACAGGGUGAUAGUCCCGUACACCAAAAUGCACAGGCUGUGAACUCGAAGAGUAGGGCGGGACACGUGGUAUCCUGUCUGAAUAUGGGGGGACCAUCCUCCAAGGCUAAAUACUCCUGACUGACCGAUAGUGAACCAGUACCGUGAGGGAAAGGCGAAAAGAACCCCGGCGAGGGGAGUGAAAAAGAACCUGAAACCGUGUACGUACAAGCAGUGGGAGCACCUUUAUGGUGUGACUGCGUACCUUUUGUAUAAUGGGUCAGCGACUUAUAUUCUGUAGCAAGGUUAACCGUAUAGGGGAGCCGCAGGGAAACCGAGUCUUAACUGGGCGUUAAGUUGCAGGGUAUAGACCCGAAACCCGGUGAUCUAGCCAUGGGCAGGUUGAAGGUUGGGUAACACUAACUGGAGGACCGAACCGACUAAUGUUGAAAAAUUAGCGGAUGACUUGUGGCUGGGGGUGAAAGGCCAAUCAAACCGGGAGAUAGCUGGUUCUCCCCGAAAGCUAUUUAGGUAGCGCCUCGUGAACUCAUCUUCGGGGGUAGAGCACUGUUUCGGCUAGGGGGUCAUCCCGACUUACCAACCCGAUGCAAACUACGAAUACCGAAGAAUGUUAUCACGGGAGACACACGGCGGGUGCUAACGUCCGUCGUGAAGAGGGAAACAACCCAGACCGCCAGCUAAGGUCCCAAAGUCAUGGUUAAGUGGGAAACGAUGUGGGAAGGCACAGACAGCCAGGAUGUUGGCUUAGAAGCAGCCAUCAUUUAAAGAAAGCGUAAUAGCUCACUGGUCGAGUCGGCCUGCGCGGAAGAUGUAACGGGGCUAAACCAUGCACCGAAGCUGCGGCAGCGACACGAUGUGUUGUUGGGUAGGGGAGCGUUCUGUAAGCCUGCGAAGGUGACCUGUGAGGGUUGCUGGAGGUAUCAGAAGUGCGAAUGCUGACAUAAGUAACGAUAAAGCGGGUGAAAAGCCCGCUCGCCGGAAGACCAAGGGUUCCUGUCCAACGUUAAUCGGGGCAGGGUGAGUCGACCCCUAAGGCGAGGCCGAAAGGCGUAGUCGAUGGGAAACAGGUUAAUAUUCCUGUACUUGGUGUUACUGCGAAGGGGGGACGGAGAAGGCUAUGUUAGCCGGGCGACGGUUGUCCCGGUUUAAGCAUGUAGGCUGAUUAUCCAGGCAAAUCCGGAUAAUCAAGGCUGAGGUGUGAUGACGAGGCACUACGGUGCUGAAGUAACAAAUGCCCUGCUUCCAGGAAAAGCCUCUAAGCAUCAGGUAACAUCAAAUCGUACCCCAAACCGACACAGGUGGUCAGGUAGAGAAUACCAAGGCGCUUGAGAGAACUCGGGUGAAGGAACUAGGCAAAAUGGUGCCGUAACUUCGGGAGAAGGCACGCUGGUGUGUAGGUGAAGUCCCUGCGGAUGGAGCUGAGACCAGUCGAAGAUACCAGCUGGCUGCAACUGUUUAUUAAAAACACAGCACUGUGCAAACACGAAAGUGGACGUAUACGGUGUGACGCCUGCCCGGUGCCGGAAGGUUAAUUGAUGGGGUUAUCCGUAAGGAGAAGCUCUUGAUCGAAGCCCCGGUAAACGGCGGCCGUAACUAUAACGGUCCUAAGGUAGCGAAAUUCCUUGUCGGGUAAGUUCCGACCUGCACGAAUGGCGUAAUGAUGGCCAGGCUGUCUCCACCCGAGACUCAGUGAAAUUGAACUCGCUGUGAAGAUGCAGUGUACCCGCGGCAAGACGGAAAGACCCCGUGAACCUUUACUAUAGCUUGACACUGAACAUUGAGCCUUGAUGUGUAGGAUAGGUGGGAGGCUUUGAAGCGUGGACGCCAGUCUGCGUGGAGCCAACCUUGAAAUACCACCCUUUAAUGUUUGAUGUUCUAACGUUGGCCCCUUAUCGGGGUUGCGGACAGUGUCUGGUGGGUAGUUUGACUGGGGCGGUCUCCUCCCAAAGCGUAACGGAGGAGCACGAAGGUUAGCUAAUCCUGGUCGGACAUCAGGAGGUUAGUGCAAUGGCAUAAGCUAGCUUGACUGCGAGCGUGACGGCGCGAGCAGGUGCGAAAGCAGGUCAUAGUGAUCCGGUGGUUCUGAAUGGAAGGGCCAUCGCUCAACGGAUAAAAGGUACUCCGGGGAUAACAGGCUGAUACCGCCCAAGAGUUCAUAUCGACGGCGGUGUUUGGCACCUCGAUGUCGGCUCAUCACAUCCUGGGGCUGAAGUAGGUCCCAAGGGUAUGGCUGUUCGCCAUUUAAAGUGGUACGCGAGCUGGGUUUAGAACGUCGUGAGACAGUUCGGUCCCUAUCUGCCGUGGGCGCUGGAGAAUUGAGGGGGGCUGCUCCUAGUACGAGAGGACCGGAGUGGACGCAUCACUGGUGUUCGGGUUGUCAUGCCAAUGGCACUGCCCGGUAGCUAAAUGCGGAAGAGAUAAGUGCUGAAAGCAUCUAAGCACGAAACUUGCCCCGAGAUGAGUUCUCCCUGAGACUUUAAGUCUCCUGAAGGAACGUUGAAGACGACGACGUUGAUAGGCCGGGUGUGUAAGCGCAGCGAUGCGUUGAGCUAACCGGUACUAAUGAACCGUGAGGCUUAACCUUACAACGCCGAAG
rnacentral:rRNA from 2 species